GUAGGUGAACCUGCGGAAGGAUCAUUAACACGUAUCCAACGUUAAACAACCCCGUGAACCUUCAGCCUGCUCUCGUAGCCCACGCGGCAACACCAGUCGAAGACUUCUUUUCAGUUGAUUAUUUCGCCUUUAUCACCUGUGGCAGAGGCUACGUCACAUGCCACAAGGUGUCUACACUGUGGUGAAGAUUGAUUAUGUUGGUAAGGGUGGGAUAUCAGUUCUCAAGGUUUGUGUGCUUUGUUGUGUGAUU
rnacentral:misc_RNA from 1 species